AGAGUUUGAUCCUGGCUCAGGACGAACGCUGGCGGCGUGCUUAACACAUGCAAGUCGAACGGAAAGGCCUCUUCGGAGGUACUCGAGUGGCGAACGGGUGAGUAACACGUGGGCAAUCUGCCCUGCACUUCGGGAUAAGCCUGGGAAACUGGGUCUAAUACCGGAUAGGACCUUUAGACGCAUGUCUUUUGGUGGAAAGCUUUUGCGGUGUGGGAUGGGCCCGCGGCCUAUCAGCUUGUUGGUGGGGUGAUGGCCUACCAAGGCGACGACGGGUAGCCGGCCUGAGAGGGUGUCCGGCCACACUGGGACUGAGAUACGGCCCAGACUCCUACGGGAGGCAGCAGUGGGGAAUAUUGCACAAUGGGCGCAAGCCUGAUGCAGCGACGCCGCGUGGGGGAUGACGGCCUUCGGGUUGUAAACCUCUUUCACCAUCGACGAAGGUCCGGGUUUUCUCGGAUUGACGGUAGGUGGAGAAGAAGCACCGGCCAACUACGUGCCAGCAGCCGCGGUAAUACGUAGGGUGCGAGCGUUGUCCGGAAUUACUGGGCGUAAAGAGCUCGUAGGUGGUUUGUCGCGUUGUUCGUGAAAUCUCACGGCUUAACUGUGAGCGUGCGGGCGAUACGGGCAGACUAGAGUACUGCAGGGGAGACUGGAAUUCCUGGUGUAGCGGUGGAAUGCGCAGAUAUCAGGAGGAACACCGGUGGCGAAGGCGGGUCUCUGGGCAGUAACUGACGCUGAGGAGCGAAAGCGUGGGGAGCGAACAGGAUUAGAUACCCUGGUAGUCCACGCCGUAAACGGUGGGUACUAGGUGUGGGUUUCCUUCCUUGGGAUCCGUGCCGUAGCUAACGCAUUAAGUACCCCGCCUGGGGAGUACGGCCGCAAGGCUAAAACUUAAAGGAAUUGACGGAU
rnacentral:rRNA from 1 species